rnacentral:rRNA from 1 species
UACGUAGGGGGCGAGCGUUGUCCGGAGUUACUGGGCGUAAAGCGCACGCAGGCGGUCUGGUAAGUUUGGAGUGACAAUUCUCGGCUUAACUGAGAAGGGUCUUCGAAGACUGCCAGACUUGAGGGCUUGCGAGGGACACGGAAUUCCGGGUGGAGUGGUGAAAUGCGUAGAGAUCCGGAGGAACACCAAAGGCGAAGGCAGUGUCCUGGGAAGUACCUGACGCUCAGGUGCGAAAGCUAGGGGAGCGAACGG